rnacentral:rRNA from 1 species
GAUGAACGCUGGCGGCGUGCCUAAUACAUGCAAGUCGAGCGAACAGACGAGGAGCUUGCUCCUCUGACGUUAGCGGCGGACGGGUGAGUAACACGUGGAUAACCUACCUAUAAGACUGGGAUAACUUCGGGAAACCGGAGCUAAUACCGGAUAAUAUAUUGAACCGCAUGGUUCAAUAGUGAAAGACGGUUUUGCUGUCACUUAUAGAUGGAUCCGCGCCGCAUUAGCUAGUUGGUAAGGUAACGGCUUACCAAGGCAACGAUGCGUAGCCGACCUGAGAGGGUGAUCGGCCACGAUGGAACUGAGACACGGUCCAGACUCCUACGGGAGGCAGCAGUAGGGAAUCUUCCGCAAUGGGCGAAAGCCUGACGGAGCAACGCCGCGUGAGUGAUGAAGGUCUUCGGAUCGUAAAACGCUGUUAUUAGGGAAGAACAAAUGUGUAAGUAACGAUGCACGUCUUGACGGUACCGAAGCAGAAAGCCACGGCUAACUACGU